rnacentral:lncRNA from 1 species
CGGCGGCAAGUGCGAUGCCUGCGGGGGCCUCAGGUUCGUGGUGUGCCGCGAGUGCGACGGCAGCCGCAAGGUGUUCGACGGCGAGCGCGGCCGCGGCGUGCGGUGCCGCGGCUGCAACGAGAAUGGCCUCGUCAUGUGCACGCUUUGCUUGUAGCUGCGCACCGCGCACGGCGCAAGCAAAGGGUAAUUAAUUAGCGGUUAAAUUGUCAAUUACCCACCUCCCUUUUCACUUACUGUAAUGAAAUCUGCUUCUAUUUUACUAGUAAAUUACCACUCCUCUUAAUGUUCUUGAGUGUGUGCUUGAACUUAGUGGUUGGCCUGUCAUGUACAUAAACUACUUCACUACUUGCUUCAGUUAAACUACAUAUUUGAAUGUGAU